ensembl:lncRNA
CACCAUCACCAACGCCCGGCUCAAGUAUCUUAUAUACAUGAUAAAUACUCUUUUUUUUCCUUGGGGCAGGGGAUGUCAGAAAAUAACAUCUCUAUUGCCCGGUAGUUGUAGUGCACAGCUUUAAUCCCAGCACUAAAGAGGCAGAGGCAGGCAGAUCUCUGUGAGUUCAUAGGCCACAGUCUGGUCUACAGAUUGAGUUCCAGGCCAGGCUCCAAAGCCACACAGAUAAACCAUGUCUACAAAAACAAACAAACAAACAAAAUAGUAUCUUUCUAUGUAGCCUUGCAGGAACUCAAUUUGUAGACCUGGCUGGCCUCUUUUAAAUGCCCUGGAGGGGCUAGAGAAAUGGCUCAGCAGUUAAGUAAGCACUGGCUGUUCUUCCAGAGUACCAGGGUUCAAUUCCCAGCAUCCACAUGGCAGCUCACACCUGUCUGUAAGUCCAAGAUCUGACACCCUUUCACAGGCAAAAUACCAAUGCAAAUGAAAUAAAAAUAAAUUAUAAAAAAAUAAAAGUAAAAAGUGGCCUAUGAAGGUGACGCACACCUUCAGUCCCAGCACUGGAGAGGCAGAGGCAGGAGGGUCUCUGUGAGUUCGAGGCCUGCUUGGUCUACAGAGCGAGAUAGGCUCCAAAGCUACAGAAAGGCUGUAUGUGUGUGUGGGGGGGGGUCUUGAGCCAGGCAGUAGUGGUACACACCUUAAAUCCCAGCACUUGAAUGAUUGAGACAGGCAGAUCUUUUGAGUGUGGUCUAUGGAGUGAGUUUCCAGGAUAGCCAGGGCUACACAGAGAAAUCCUUUCUCAAAAAACUUAAAAAAAAACUUGAUUGCUGGCAUAAUCAAGAAAACUAACAACACAUUUAGAAGACUUUUUAAAAUUAGUGACUAUGAAUCCAGGUAUGCUGGCACAAAUCUGUAAUACCAGCACCUGGGAGGCAGAAGCAGGCAGAUCUUUGUAAACUUGAGGCUAGUUAAGCCUGCCUUACCUACAAAGGAAGUUUGGGCUUCCUAAGACACCGUCUCAACUAGAGAUAGCAAAAGGAGGAACCAGAGGACAAAAGGGGAAAGAGGGAGGAGAGGUAGUGAUCACACAAAACCCAGCCUGGAGGUCAAGGUUACAGGCAGGAAGGUCCACCAGCAAGAGAGAGAGAGGCUGAGACCUUUCUAAGAGACAAAAGGGUAGGGCUGAAGGCUGGGGGUGGUACAUGCUUGUAAUCCCAGCACCCAGGAAGUGGAAGCUGGAAGAUCAGAGUUCCAAACCAGCCUGGGCUACAUAGUGAGUUGCAGGCCAGCUUAAGCUACAACAGUGAAGUCAUACCCUAAGCUACAGUAGUGAGUUCCAAGCUAGACUAAACUACAUAGUGAAAGCCUGUGGGCUUGUGGAGUGGGAACUCCUGGGUUGGAGGGAGGCAACUGUGGGCACCAAGAGCCGCUGUCCAGCAGGCAGAGGACUAUGUGGGAGAGAUCCGGUCUGGCUUGAAGACCCAGGCCUCGUCAAGCUGACAGUUAUGGGCAAGAACAGAAUUGCUAAGGGUGGUAUGGUGACAAAAGGGACAUUUGCAACCUAGCCCAUUCUCAAAAUAUAAAUGGAAACCUCAUUAACCUGACCUAUUACCACACCAUGACCGCCCAUCUCUAUUCCAGGGACCCAAGUCCCUAAGGUAUGUGACUAGCCAGCCCAAAAUAGUCAUAGACCUGCCCCCUCUCCUACUGAGAAGUCCUCCCAAGCUUGACCUCCUCCAGUGCUCCCAACCCCUUCAAGGGACAGUGAACAGUACCAUGAAUGAAGUUUAUGCUGGAGCUGACCGGUCAGGGUAGGGACCAGCUGGCACCACAUGCAUGACCUAUUUAAGGUUCUGCCUGC